GUGGUUUGUUCGUGCAUUUCCUUUUAAUCAUGUAUUUGCAUGCCAACAAUGGGAAGGAUUGGAGUUGAGCAAUUGAGAGGAUAUUCUGGGAAUGGUACAUCCAUGACGAGGGCCACCAGAUAAAUGGCUUGGAUGGACCAGCCAUCGGCCCCACAUGUACAAACUAAGUUGGGAACGAAUAUGGAACUUAGCCUCUAUAGCACAGUAAGUUUUGUCUCAUGAUAUUUUCACGUAAGUUUCAUGGGCAUGCGACAAUCACAUAACAUCCUAGAGGCACUUCAUCCACCAUGCUCUAAUUCUAUGGAAAAUCCUUGUUGAUUUCCUCAUCCUCUUUAAUUGUAGAGAUAAGUUAAUGAAACAAAUUGCUUUGAUGGAUCAUCAUCGACUCCAGCUUGCUAAAGCUUGGACCCUUCGAGCUUGGCUGAAGAGAGUCAGCUCAGCCAAAUUAUGAGUUGAUUAGUGAAUUUCGAACGUUAAUUGGCAAUCGCCAACCUUCAUGUUUCAAGCUUCCCGAAUGGCAUUCAGAACCCCGCUGAGCUCGAGAAAAGCAUCAAUAUGAUCCCGGGCGUAGUUGAAAAUGGCAUUGUUUCCAGUAUCGCAACGUCCGUGCUGGUUGCCCUGCAAGAUGGAGAUGAUGUCACGGUGAUGGAUCUGUCGGAAUUUGUAAAGGUUGUCAUCAACUAGACAGGCGUGACUCAUGAGGAUCUGUUGGAAUUUGUAGAAAUUGUCAACAGCUAGAUAGACGUGACUUUUAGUUAGAUUUCUCAUUGUAGAUUGGGCUUGCUAGUUAGACAGAUGAGAUUUUUACUUAGUAGAUUGAAAUUUCUUAGAUAUGGAAUUUUGUAACUCUUGAGAUUGAGCAGAAUAAAAAGGCCCAGUAAUACAUGGCGUAGUAAGAGUA